rnacentral:rRNA from 1 species
AACGAACGCUGGCGGCAUGCCUAACACAUGCAAGUCGAACGAGAUCUUCGGGUCUAGUGGCGCACGGGUGCGUAACGCGUGGGAAUCUGCCCUUUGGUUCGGAAUAACAGUUGGAAACGACUGCUAAUACCGGAUGAUGACGAAAGUCCAAAGAUUUAUCGCCAGAGGAUGAGCCCGCGUAGGAUUAGCUAGUUGGUGUGGUAAAGGCGCACCAAGGCGACGAUCCUUGGCUGGUCUGAGAGGAUGAUCAGCCACACGGGGACGAAGCCACGGCCCACACUCCUACGGGAGGCAGCGGUGGGGAAUAUUGGACAAUGGGCGAAAGCCUGAUCCAGCAAUGCCGCUUGAGGGAUGAAGGCCUUAGGGUUGUAAAGCUCUUCUACCCGGGAUGAUAAUGACAGUACCGGGAGAAUAAGCUCCGGCUAACUCCGUGCCAGCCGCCGCGGUAA